rnacentral:rRNA from 1 species
CCGCCUGCCCUGUGACUAUAUGUUUAACGGCCGCGGUAUUUUGACCGUGCGAAGGUAGCGCAAUCACUUGUCUUUUAAAUGAAGACCCGUAUGAAUGGCAUAACGAGGGCUUAGCUGUCUCCCCUUUCUAGUCAAUGAAAUUGAUCUCCCCGUGCAGAAGCGGGGAUAAAAACAUAAGACGAGAAGACCCUAUGGAGCUUGAAACCUAUAAUAGUACACGUCAAACACAUCAGCACAAAGAAAUGAACUAAUUGUUUACCUAUUAAAGUGUUUUUGGUUGGGGCGACCGCGGGGAAAACAAAACCCCCAUGUGGACUGGGAGAACUACUCCCACAACCCUAGAGCUACCGCUCUAAGUAAUAGAAUAUCUAACCUUCAAGAUCCGGCAAAGCCGAUCAACGGACCGAGUUACCCUAGGGAUAACAGCGCAAUCCUCUCCCAGAGUCCAUAUCGACGAGGGGGUUUACGACCUCGAUGUUGGAUCAGGACAUCCUAAUGGUGCAGCCGCUAUUAAGGGUUCGUUUGUUCAACGAUUAAAGUCCUACGUGAUCU